ensembl:snoRNA
GUUUGUUUAUAGUUCAUAAAUGUAACUAUUGGGUAUUCGCACUCAUGUGUGAGAUGUGCCUCUCAUCUUUGUUACAACUUCAGCACAUAGAUA